UACGAAGGGGGCUAGCGUUGUUCGGAAUUACUGGGCGUAAAGCGCACGUAGGCGGACUACUAAGUCAGGGGUGAAAUCCCGGGGCUCAACCCCGGAACUGCCUUUGAUACUGAUAGUCUCGAGUCCGGAAGAGGUGAGUGGAAUUCCGAGUGUAGAGGUGAAAUUCGUAGAUAUUCGGAGGAACACCAGUGGCGAAGGCGGCUCACUGGUCCGGUACUGACGCUGAGGCGCGAAAGCGUGGGGAGCAAACAGG
rnacentral:rRNA from 1 species